AGCACCCAACCCCUCAGGGGGAGGAGAAAAGGGCUUAGCCACUCACCUUUAUCUUUGGAAGGCUCAGAUCUGCACCAGGAAGAGGCCAGCCCAGACCUAAAGUGUGGGCACAGGACAGAGGUUCCUGGACACCACCCCCCUCCCCAUGCCCUGAAGAGAUCUUCAGAGCAGCUGGGCUGGAAGUGUCUCUUCUUGAACAGCAGAGUAGGAUGGGUAGCCCGGUGCACCGAGUGUCCUUGGGGGACAAGUGGAGCAGGCAAGAGCACCCUGAUAUAAAAAGUGAGAGGCGUGUGCCAUCCUUCAAUGUGGAACGACUCACCAAUAUCCUUGACAGAGGUGCCCAGAACACUUCGAUCCGGAGGAAAGUCGAAAGCAUCAUCCACAAUGACCCAGUGUUUAGCCUUAAGAACAAUCAUUUCAUGACCCAGAAUGAGCAUUAUGAGACUGCCCUGCGGAAGAGAUACCACAUACAGAUGAUAGCACAGCGCCUGGGCUGGCUGGCAGAUGGUUGCGAAUUGGCUUAUGCUUUCAGGGCCCUUUCUGGAGACGUGGCCUUAACUUUAAAUGGUGUCUUCAUGAAUGCGCUCAGGAGCCUUGGCUCAGAGGAACAGAUUGCUAAAUGGAUACCACUCUGUGAAAACUUCCAGAUCAUCACAACGUAUGCCCAGACAGAGCUGGGACACGGGUCAUAUCUUCAAGGCCUGGAGACUGAAGCCAUCUAUGACGCAGCCACCCAGGAGUUUGUGAUACACAGCCCCACCAUGACUGCCGCCAAGUGGUGGCCUGGGGACAUGGGCCGGUCGGCCACCCAUGCCCUGGUCUUGGCCCAGCUGAUCUGCUCAGGAGCCAGGCAGGGAAUGCACGCUUUUAUCGUGCCCAUCCGGAGCCUCCAGGACCACACCCCACUGCCAGGAAUCACUGUUGGGGAUAUUGGGCCCAAGAUGGACUUGGAAAAUGUAGACAAUGGCUUCCUGCUUCUAGACCACGUGCGGGUCCCCAGGGAGAACAUGCUGAGUCGCUUUGCACAGGUCUUGCCAGAUGGCACCUACAUCAAGUUUGGGACAGCACAGAGCAACUAUCUUGGCAUGGUGGUGACUCGAGUGCGCUUGCUGUUGACUUCCAUCCUACCCUUACUGCAGAAGGCUUGUGUCAUCGCUGUGCGCUACUCAGUCGUCCGCCGCCAAUCCCGGCUCCGGCCCAGUGACCCAGAGACAAAAAUUCUGGACUACCAGACACAGCAGCAGAAACUCCUUCCUCAGCUGGCCAUGAGUUACGCCUUCCACUUCACAGCGGUCAGCCUCUUGGAAUUCUUCCACCGCUCCUACGAUGAGAUUCUGCGCAAAGAUUUCAGCCUCCUUCCUGAGCUCCACGCACUGAGCACAGGCAUGAAGGCCAUGAUGUCUGAAUUGUGUACCCAGGGGGCCGAGCUGUGUCGCAGGGCCUGCGGGGGACACGGCUACUCAAAGCUGAGUGGUUUGCCAUCAUUGGUCACCCAAGUGACAGCCUCCUGUACCUAUGAGGGUGAGAAUACAGUGCUCUACCUUCAAGUGGCCAGGUUUCUGGUAAAGAGCUACCUGCAAGCCAAGGUGUCUUCAGACUCUGCACCACAGAAGCCUCUACCUCAGUCUGUCGAAUAUCUUGCCAGGCCUGUCCUGGCCCGGUGCCCAGCCCAGAAGGCAGCCGACUUCCUCUGCCCAGAGUUAUACACUGCAGCCUGGGCACACGCGACCACCAGGCUCAUAGAGGACUCGGUGCAUCAUCUACAGACCCUCACGCAAUCUGGGGCUGACCAGCAGGAGGCUUGGAACCAGACUUCUGUCAUGCUCCUCCAGGCUGCUAAGGCACACUGCUACUAUAUCACUGUGAAGAGUUUCACGGAUGCUCUGGAGAAACUAGACAAGGAACCAGCAAUUCAGCAAGUGCUCCAACGCCUCUGUGACCUCUUUGCUUUACACGGUAUCUUGACAAACUCAGGAGACUUUCUCCACGAUGGCUUUCUGUCUGGGGCCCAAGUAGACAUGGCAAGAAAAGCUUACCUGGACCUACUCCUCCUGAUCAGGAAGGAUGCUAUCUUGUUAACUGAUGCAUUUGACUUCAGCGACCAGUGUUUGAAUUCAGCACUUGGCUGUUAUGAUGGAAAUGUCUAUGGACGUCUGUUCCAGUGGGCUCGGGAGUCACCAAGCAAUGCUCAGUCCAAUUUCAGAAAAAAAAGGUGUCUUAACAGCUCAUCAAAUUGGCAGUUCCCAGGCUUUCAUUCACACUUGGCACAGUGUUAGACUUGCUCUUAACAAUUUGUACUGUCAUACCUCAUAGCUUAAUUUAACAUGAUCCUCUGAAGUUAUAACACAACCAGUUACCCCCAGAACAGCUCUCAGGUGGCCAAUCUGUUUGGUCAAUCCCCAUCCCCAGAAAGGCAUUCUUUGAAAUCUACAAGGAAAUAUAAACAAUUUACUGAAGGAAAAUGUAUUUACUGCUUACUUAAUACAGUUUGCCUACUUCCAGAGUGUUUCUUUUAUAGUCAUCUCUCCUUUCUAACAUUUAAAUCCUGACAUAAAAAUAAAGCAGUCUGCCUAGCCCAGCCUAGUUCUUAUGGUCCAAAGAUAUACAUAUGCCCUUUGAUGCUCCAAAGAACCUGCCCUGCUGUUUACCUGAUAAGAAAUGCUAACACGCAGAGGUCAGUCCAGUUUUACUGAAAACACAGGAAACAUUCCAGUUCUCCAGAUUUCUCAUGGUCACUGAAGAACGGUGGGGGCGUUCUUGGUUUUCACCUUUAAAGACUUCAAUCUGGAUACCACAUGAGAGCAGCCUUUUCUAAAUGAGGAGAACCCUGCCUAUGAAAAAUACAUCCGACCACUAUUACAAAGUUGGAGAUCCAAGCUAUGAAAUAACCAACAGUAAUCAAGGAGCAAGCAGCACUACAAUGGUUCUAUAGCAUAUAUUGGCAAAAUUAAAAUUGAUAUACAUA